rnacentral:rRNA from 1 species
CCUACGGGAGGCUGCAGUGGGGAAUAUUGGACAAUGGGGGCAACCCUGAUCCAGCCAUGCCGCGUGUGUGAAGAAGGCCCUCGGGUUGUAAAGCACUUUCAGUGAGGAAGAACGCCUGGUGGUUAAUACCCAUCAGGAAAGACAUCACUCACAGAAGAAGCACCGGCUAACUCCGUGCCAGCAGCCGCGGUAAUACGGAGGGUGCGAGCGUUAAUCGGAAUUACUGGGCGUAAAGCGCGCGUAGGUGGCUUGAUAAGCCGGUUGUGAAAGCCCCGGGCUCAACCUGGGAACGGCAUCCGGAACUGUCAAGCUAGAGUGCAGGAGAGGAAGGUAGAAUUCCCGGUGUAGCGGUGAAAUGCGUAGAGAUCGGGAGGAAUACCAGUGGCGAAGGCGGCCUUCUGGACUGACGCUGACACUGAGGUGCGAAAGCGUGGGUAGCAAACAGGAUUAGAUACCCUUGUAGUC